rnacentral:rRNA from 1 species
GACGGCAGCUAGCUUUCUGCAACUCUCACAUGGUCGCCCACUGAAGCUAAGCAGGGCUGCGCCUGGUCAGUACCUGGAUAGGGGACCACAUGGGAAAGCUAGGUUGCUGCCGGAA